GCUUGGCCCUAAACCUCAGUAGUUAGAUAACAAAACUACUCGCCAGAAUACUACAAGCAACAGCUUAAAACUCAAAGGACUUGACGGUGCUUUACAUCCCCCUAGAGGAGCCUGUUCCGUAAUCGAUAAACCCCGAUCCACCCCACCCUCUCUUGCUCAGCCUAUAUACCGCCAUCUUCAGCAAACCCCAAUGAAGGUUACAAAGUGAGCGCAAACGCCGCUGCCGCGAAUACGUUAGGUCAAGGUGUAGCCCAUGAGACGGUAAAAAAUGGGCUACAUUUUCUAUUUCAGAAAACCCCACGAAAACCCUUAUGAAACUUAAGGGUCCAAGGAGGAUUUAGCAGUAAAUUAAGAAUAGAGUGCUUAAUUGAACCAGGCCAUAAAGGCG
rnacentral:rRNA from 1 species